rnacentral:tRNA from 1 species
GCAACUGUAGCUCAGCCCCCAGAGCCCCGACUUUGUAAGUCGAACGUCGGAGGUUAGAAUCCUCCCACUUGCU